ensembl:snRNA U6 U6 spliceosomal RNA
GUGCUCAAUUCAACAGCAUAUAUACCACCCUGGAAUCAUGCAGAGGAGAGUAGCAAAGUCCCCGCAUGAGGGUGGCACACAAGUCCCUGAAGCUCUCCACAUUUUU